rnacentral:rRNA from 1 species
AGUAAUGUCUGGGAAACUGCCUGAUGGAGGGGGAUAACUACUGGAAACGGUAGCUAAUACCGCAUAAUGUCGCAAGACCAAAGAGGGGGACCUUCGGGCCUCUUGCCAUCGGAUGUGCCCAGAUGGGAUUAGCUAGUAGGUGGGGUAAUGGCUCACCUAGGCGACGAUCCCUAGCUGGUCUGAGAGGAUGACCAGCCACACUGGAACUGAGACACGGUCCAG